rnacentral:rRNA from 1 species
CCUACGGGAGACAGCAGUGAGGAAUAUUGGUCAAUGGGAGAGAUCCUGAACCAGCCAAGCCGCGUGAGGGAAGACGGCCCUAUGGGUUGUAAACCUCUUUUGUCGGAGAACAAAACCCGGGACGUGUCCCGGACUGCGUUUAUCCGAAGAAAAAGCAUCGGCUAACUCCGUGCCAUCAGCCGCGGUAAUACGGAGGGUGCGAGCGUUAUCCGGAUUUGUUGGGGUAAAAGGUUGCGUAGGCGGUCCGUUAAGUCAGCGGUAAAAUUGAGAGGUUCAACCUCUUCGAGCCGUUGAAACUGGUUUGCUUGAGUGAGUGAGAGGUAUGCGGAAUGCGUGGUGUAGCGGUGAAAUGCAUAGAUAUCACGCAGAACUCCGAUUGCGAAGGCAGCAUACCGGCGCUCAACUGACGCUCAUGCACGAAAGUGUGGGUAUCGAACAGGAUUAGAUACCCCAGUAGUC